CCCCUUGGUGCUGUUCUCAUGAUAAGAAUUCUCGUGAGAUCUGGUUGUUUAAAAAUGUGUGUCACUUCCCUCUCUCUCUUCCUCCUGCUCCCACCAUGUGAGACGCCUCACUCACCCUUUGCCUUCUGCCAUGACUGGAAGCUUUUCUGAGCGCUGCCCCCUACAAAACAGAAGCUGCCAUGCUUCCUGCACAGCCCACAGAACUGUUGAAUUAUUAGCCACAAUUCUCCCCCCUCUGAGGUAGGAGGAUGCAUCCACAACCUUGCCUUGGCGUCAUGGAAGCAGAGUACACUUCCCCAAUUCAAUAAACUUGUCUUAUCCAGUGGAAUAAGGACUGGAGAUAUCUAAGUUUUCAUAAGAGAUCAUCAGAAGAAAAUGAAGAUCCAGGCUCUCUUUCAGCUGAGAAAACGCAUCCACAAAAUUCCAAAGAAUACCUGGUGAAGAGGAAAAGAGACACAAAGACAGAUACACAAGGAGACCAUGAUGAGGCAGAAGCAAGAGAUCACAGUGAUGCUUCUAUGAGCCAAGAAAAUCUAAGAACUGCCAGCCAUCACCAGAAGCUAAAAGAGAAGCCUGAAACAAAUUCUGCCUCAGAGCCUCCAGGAGGAAUCAUCCCGGGAGACAUCUUGAUAUCAGAUUUCCAGCCUCCAAAACUGUGAGGCAACAAAUAAUCUGUCAUUUUAAGCCACCAGUUUGUAGUCACUUGUUCCAGCAGCCCUAGGAAGCUAACACACAGUCAGCCUCCAUUUUUUGAUGUUUGACCACACACAGGUUUGAACCCUCACGUCUCCGUUUUCCUCCUACUCUGUACCUGGGAAAGUUGAUAACCAUGUUGAGGUGCUCCCUCCUUUGGUGUCAGUGGGAAUUUCAAACUACCUAUGGGAACACUCACUCCUUCCCCAUCACUGACCUCAGUAAAAACCCCAGGCCCAACAACUUUGUCUGUUCUCUCAAACCAUUUUUGAACCCACUAAGGAGCCACCCUGUUCUCGCAAGAAAGCCUUGUUAUAUGAGCAAUAAACCUUUCUAUAUUGUC
rnacentral:lncRNA from 10 species